AUGAACAAAAGAGCCAGGACAAUGACAUCUUUUUUUCAACCACAAAGCACUGAUUCCAUAGUAACAGAAGCAACCCCUGCAACUCGAGCAAGUGAUGACGUUCCUUGUGUCGCAGCCCAACUUAAGCCCGGUGAUAUUGAGCCAGACCCUGGUAAGAGAAUACCUAUUGAGAAUUUGGAUCCCGACAUUAGAGAUCUUGCUAGAAGGAAGUACAUAAGUAUGGGCCCUUGCCAACCAACUGAUCAUAAAUAUGAACGGAAAUGGGUAGGAAAAGGGUUUAGAAGCUUUCAUGAUUCUUGGUACAAAAAUCAUCGUGGUUGGUUGGAAUAUAGCAUUGAUAAAAAUGCAGCCUUUUGCUUUUAUUGCUUUCUAUUUAAGCAACCAAGAGCUGACAACUUUGGUGUUCAAGCAUUCACUAAGAACGGGUUUAAAAAUUGGAAGAAUGGACCUAAAUUUCUUUAUGAACAUGUUGGUAAACAUGACAGUGCUCAUAAUAAGGCUAGACAACACUAUGAGGCUUUCAAAAACCAGAGGCAAAAUCUGCCACAUGUGUUUGAUCGAGGUACUCAGAAGGAGGAAGAAGAAUACAAAGCUCGUCUCUUGAUUAUAUUGGGUGUUAUCAAUUUUUUGUUGCUACAAGGUCUUGCUUUUCGUGGACAUGAUGAGUCUACUAGCUCAAAGAAUAAGGGUAACUUUAAGGAGUUGUUGGGCUGGCUCAUAGAGAAAGACCGAGAUGCACGAAAAUUGAUGGGGGAUGCAGGAGCGAACCAUAAGCUAACUUCACCUGAGAUACAAUUGGACUUGUGCAAGGCUUGUGCAGAAGAGAGCACCAAAACCAUUGUUGAUGAAAUUGGAGAUAGUAAUUUUUCCUUACUUGUUGAUGAGUCCAGAGAUGCAUCUAUCAAGGAGCAAAUGGCUAUGUGUUUGAGGCAUCUCAGCAGCCGAGGGGAGGUGAUUGAGAGGUUUAUUGCAAUCAAGCAUGUUCCUAACACAUAG
rnacentral:rRNA from 1 species